rnacentral:rRNA from 1 species
CGGCGAGUGAAGCGGCAACAGCUCAAAUUUGAAAUCUGGUCCUCGGGCCCGAGUUGUAAUUUGCAGAGGAUGCUUCUGGCGCGGUGCCUUCCGAGUUCCCUGGAACGGGACGCCUUAGAGGGUGAGAGCCCCGUACGGUUGGACACCAAGCCUAUGUGAAGCUCCUUCGACGAGUCGAGUAGUUUGGGAAUGCUGCUCUAAAUGGGAGGUAAAUUUCUUCUAAAGCUAAAUAUUGGCCAGAGACCGAUAGCGCACAAGUAGAGUGAUCGAAAGAUGAAAAGCACUUUGAAAAGAGGGUUAAAUAGCACGUGAAAUUGUUGAAAGGGAAGCGUUUGCGACCAGACCUCUUCCCGGCGGAUCAUCCGGCGUUCUCGCCGGUGCACUCUGCCGGGUCGAGGCCAGCAUCGGUUCCGGCGGGGGGAUAAAAGCCCGGGGAACGUAGCUCCCUCGGGAGUGUUAUAGCCACGGGCACAAUACCCCCGCGGGGACCGAGGACCGCGCUUCGGCAAGGAUGCUGGCGUAAUGGUCGUCAACGACCCGUCUUGAAACACGGACCAAGGAGUCGAACAGUUGUGCGAGUGUUUGGGUGUCAAACCCUCACGCGUAAUGAAAGUGAACGGAGGUGAGAGCCCCUCGGGGUGCAUCAUCGACCGAUCCUGAUGUCUUCGGAUGGAUUUGAGUAGGAGCAUCACUGUUCGGACCCGAAAGAUGGUGAACUAUGCGUGGAUAGGGUGAAGCCAGAGGAAACUCUGGUGGAGGCUCGCAGCGGUUCUGACGUGCAAAUCGAUCGUCAAAUCUGCGCAUGGGGGCGAAAG